UACGUAGGGGGCAAGCGUUGUCCGGAUUUAUUGGGCGUAAAGAGCGUGUAGGCGGUUUGGUAGGUCCGCUGUGAAAAACUCGAGCUCAACCUCGAGACGCCGGUGGAAACCAUCAGACUAGAGUCCGGAAGAGGAGAGUGGAAUUCCUGGUGUAGCGGUGAAAUGCGCAGAUAUCAGGAAGAACACCCGUGGCUAAGGCGGCUCUCUAGUACGGUACUGACGCUGAGACGCGAAAGCGUGGGGAGCGAACAGG
rnacentral:rRNA from 1 species